rnacentral:rRNA from 1 species
UACGGGGGGAGCAAGCGUUGUUCGGAUUUACUGGGCGUAAAGGGCGCGUAGGCGGUCGUGACAAGUCACUUGUGAAAUCUCCGGGCUUAACUCGGAACGGUCAAGUGAUACUGUCGGACUAGAGUACAGAAGGGGCAACUGGAAUUCUCGGUGUAGCGGUGAAAUGCGUAGAUAUCAGGAGGAACACCAGCGGCGAAGGCGGCGCUCUGGGCCGGAACUGACGCUGAGGAGCGAAAGCGUGGGUAGCAAACAGG